GAGAAUAUUAUUCUAUAAUCUUCUUUAUAAAACUCAUAAAAAUUGGAAUGAUGACUUAUAAAUAGAGGGAUUAUCACGGUGUACACACAAACACACAUAUGUAUCCUAAAUAAUAACUAGAUGGUAAAAUACACACCCGAUUACAUUACAUUUCCACCAGUGCCUAAUAAUAUGACAUAGAAUUAAUUAAAUACAAAGAUAGAAGAAACAGGCAUAUAUAAAUAUCUGCAGCUAAAUUGUGAUAGAUAACAUCUUAUGCGCAGGUUUUAAGUUUUUCAUACCCAAUCCUUCUUAUGUACAAAUGAAGGGUUGUAGAGACAUAUCCACUUAGCUUCUGGUGCAUACACAUCCCUCAUUGCCAUAACUUCACUACUUAUUCUGUAUCAUGAAAACACAUUUACAUAUAUCAGUUAAAUAAAUAAUAUAUACUCUUAUACUCAUAGACAAGAGGCCUCUCUCACUCUCUCUAUUUAUAUGUAUACCUCAGAGAAACAAUUUUGAUGAAGUAUUGACUGGUUGUUUGUGUUCACCAAAAGUUG
rnacentral:misc_RNA from 1 species